rnacentral:rRNA from 1 species
GAACUGAAGAGUUUGAUCAUGGCUCAGAUUGAACGCUGGCGGCAGGCCUAACACAUGCAAGUCGAGCGGAUGAAGGGAGCUUGCUCCUGGAUUCAGCGGCGGACGGGUGAGUAAUGCCUAGGAAUCUGCCUGGUAGUGGGGGAUAACGUCCGGAAACGGGCGCUAAUACCGCAUACGUCCUGAGGGAGAAAGUGGGGGAUCUUCGGACCUCACGCUAUCAGAUGAGCCUAGGUCGGAUUAGCUAGUUGGUGGGGUAAAGGCCUACCAAGGCGACGAUCCGUAACUGGUCUGAGAGGAUGAUCAGUCACACUGGAACUGAGACACGGUCCAGACUCCUACGGGAGGCAGCAGUGGGGAAUAUUGGACAAUGGGCGAA